rnacentral:rRNA from 1 species
UACGUAGGGGGCAAGCGUUGUCCGGAUUUAUUGGGCGUAAAGAGCGUGUAGGCGGCCAAGCAGGUCCGCUGUGAAAACUCGAGGCUCAACCUCGGGACGUCGGUGGAAACCAUUUGGCUAGAGUCCGGAAGAGGAGAGUGGAAUUCCUGGUGUAGCGGUGAAAUGCGCAGAUAUCAGGAAGAACACCAAUGGCGAAAGCAGCUCUCUGGGACGGUACUGACGCUGAGACGCGAAAGCGUGGGGAGCGAACAGG